rnacentral:rRNA from 1 species
GAUCAUGGCUCAGAUUGAACGCUGGCGGCAUGCCUUACACAUGCAAGUCGGAACGGUAACAGGUCUUCGGACGCUGACGAGUGGCGAACGGGUGAGUAAUACAUCGGAACGUGCCCAGUCGUGGGGGAUAACUACUCGGAAAGAGUAGCUAAUACCGCAUACGAUCUGAGGAUGAAAGCGGGGGACCUUUCGGGGCCUUCGGCGCGAUUGGAGCGGCCGAUGGCAGAUUAGGUAGUUGGUGGGA